GAUGAACGCUGGCGGCGUGCCUAAUACAUGCAAGUCGAGCGAACAGACGAGGAGCUUGCUCCUCUGACGUUAGCGGCGGACGGGUGAGUAACACGUGGAUAACCUACCUAUAAGACUGGGAUAACUUCGGGAAACCGGAGCUAAUACCGGAUAAUAUAUUGAACCGCAUGGUUCAAUAGUGAAAGACGGUUUUGCUGUCACUUAUAGAUGUAUCCGCGCCGCAUUAGCUAGUUGGUAAGGUAACGGCUUACCAAGGCGACGAUGCGUAGCCGACCUGAGAGGGUGAUCGGCCACACUGGAACUGAGACACGGUCCAGACUCCUACGGGAGGCAGCAGUAGGGAAUCUUCCGCAAUGGGCGAAAGCCUGACGGAGCAACGCCGCGUGAGUGAUGAAGGUCUUCGGAUCGUAAAACUCUGUUAUUAGGGAAGAACAAAUGUGUAAGUAACUAUGCACGUCUUGACAGUACCUAAUCAGAAAGCCACGGCUAACUACGUG
rnacentral:rRNA from 1 species